rnacentral:rRNA from 1 species
GACGAACGCUGGCGGCGUGCCUAACACAUGCAAGUCGAACGGGGUAUUACUUCGGUGAUACUUAGUGGCGAACGGGUGAGUAACGCGUGAGAAACCUGCCUUUCAGUGGGGGACAACAGUUGGAAACGACUGCUAAUACCGCAUAAUGUUAUUUGGGGGCAUCCCCGAAUAACCAAAGGUUUAUUGCUGAAAGAUGGUCUCGCGUCUGAUUAGCUAGUUGGUGAGGUAACGGCUCACCAAGGCGACGAUCAGUAGCCGGUCUGAGAGGAUGAACGGCCACAUUUGGACUGAGAUACGGCCCAGACUCCUACGGGAGGCAGCAGUGGGGAAUAUUGGGCAAUGGGCGAAAGCCUGACCCAGCAACGCCGCGUGAAGGAAGAAGGCCUUCGGGUUGUAAACUCCUUUUACCAGGGACGAACACAAUGACGGUACCUGGAGAAAAAGCAACGGCUAACUACGUGCCAGCAGCCGCGGUAAUAC